rnacentral:rRNA from 1 species
AUUGAACGCUAGCGGCAUGCCUUACACAUGCAAGUCGAACGGAGGGGCGAACGGGUGAGUAAUGUAUCUGAACGUGCCCAGUCGCGGGGGAUAACUACGCGAAAGCGUAGCUAAUACCGCAUACUAUUGGAGCGGCCGAGAACGGAUUAGGUAGGUGGGGGGGUAACGGCGCACCAAGGCGACGAUCCGUAGCUGGGUUGAGAGGACGACCAGCCACACUGGGACUGAGAAACGGCCCAGUCGCCUUCGGGAGGGAGCAGGAGGGAAUCUUGGGCAAUGGGCGGAAAUCAUGCCGAGCAACGGCGCGGGAGUGAAGAAGGUUUUCGGGUGGUAAAGCUCUGUUGUUAGGGAAGCGGUAACUAACGAAAAAGGAACGGCUAACUACGUGCCAGCAGCCGCGGUAAUAC